rnacentral:rRNA from 1 species
CCUACGGGAGGCAGCAGUGGGGGAUAUUGCACAAUGGGGGGAACCCUGAUGCAGCGACGCCGCGUGGGUGAAGGCGUGCUUCGGCAUGUAAAGCCCUAUCGGCAGGGAAGCAGCAAGACGGUACAUGACUAAGAAUCCCCGGCUAACUACGUGCCAGCAGCCGCGGUAAUACGUCGGGGGCGAGCGUUAUCCGGAUUCACUGGGUGUAAAGGGAGCGUAGACGGGUUGACAAGUCAGAUGUGAAAUCCUGCGGCUUAACCGCAGAACUGCAUUUGAAACUGUUGAUCUUGAGUACUGGAGAGGCAGAUGGAAGUCGUGGUGUAGCGGUGAAAUGCGUAGAUAUUAGGAGGAACACCAGUGGCGAAGGCGGUCUGCUGGACAGCAACUGACGGUGAGGCGCGAAAGCGUGGGGAGCAAACAGGAUUAGAUACCCGAGUAGUC